CCUACGGGAGGCAGUAGUGGGGAAUUUUGGACAAUGGGCGCAAGCCUGAUCCAGCAAUGCCGCGUGCAGGAUGAAGGCCUUCGGGUUGUAAACUGCUUUUGUACGGAACGAAAAAGUCUGCCCUAAUACGGUGGGCCCAUGACGGUACCGUAAGAAUAAGCACCGGCUAACUACGUGCCAGCAGCCGCGGUAAUACGUAGGGUGCGAGCGUUAAUCGGAAUUACUGGGCGUAAAGCGUGCGCAGGCGGUUAUAUAAGACAGAUGUGAAAUCCCCGGGCUCAACCUGGGACCUGCAUUUGUGACUGUAUAGCUAGAGUACGGUAGAGGGGGAUGGAAUUCCGCGUGUAGCAGUGAAAUGCGUAGAUAUGCGGAGGAACACCGAUGGCGAAGGCAAUCCCCUGGACCUGUACUGACGCUCAUGCACGAAAGCGUGGGGAGCAAACAGGAUUAGAUACCCUGGUAGUCCACGCCCUAAACGAUGUCAACUGGUUGUUGGGUCUUCACUGACUCAGUAACGAAGCUAACGCGUGAAGUUGACCGCCUGGGGAGUCGGCCGCAAGGUUGAAACGUCAAAGGAUUGACGG
rnacentral:rRNA from 1 species